CAGCUGUUAGGCGGUUUGUCGCGUCUGCUGUGAAAAUCCGGGGCUCAACCCCGGACUUGCAGUGGGUACGGGCAGACUAGAGUAUGGUAGGGGAGACUGGAUUCCUGGUGUAGCGGUGAAAUGCGCAGAUAUCAGGAGGAACACCGAUGGCGAAGGCAGGUCUCUGGGCCAUUACUGACGCUGAGAAGCGAAAGCAUGGGGAGCGAACAGGAUUAGAUACCCUGGUAGUACAUGCCGUAAACGUUGGGCGCUAGGUGUGGGACUCAUUCCACGAGUUCCGUGCCGCAGCUAACGCAUUAAGCGCCCCGCCUGGGGAGUACGGCCGCAAGGCUAAAACUCAAAGGAAUUGACGGGGGCCCGCACAAGCGGCGGAGCAUGCGGAUUAAUUCGAUGCAACGCGAAGAACCUUACCAAGGCUUGACAUAUACCGGAAACACCUAGAGAUAGGUGCCCCUUUUGGUCGGUAUACAGGUGGUGCAUGGUUGUCGUCAGCUCGUGUCGUGAGAUGUUGGGUUAAGUCCCGCAACGAGCGCAACCCUCGUUCUAUGUUGCCAGCACGUAAAGGUGGGGACUCAUAGGAGACUGCCGGGGUCAACUCGGAGGAAGGUGGGGAUGACGUCAAAUCAUCAUGCCCCUUAUGUCUUGGGCUUCACGCAUGCUACAAUGGCCGGUACAAAGGGCUGCGAUACCGUAAGGUGGAGCGAAUCCCAAAAAACCGGUCUCAGUUCGGAUUGGGGUCUGCAACUCGACCCCAUGAAGUCGGAGUCGCUAGUAAUCGCAGAUCAGCAACGCUGCGGUGAAUACGUUCCCGGGCCUUAACAAGCCGCUUCAUCUACGGUAACUCCUAUACAGCAAGUCGCACAACAUAGCAGGUAACAAGGUAGCCCGGACUACGGGUUCCCG
rnacentral:rRNA from 1 species